GGCUUAGCAGCUUAGUUGGUAAAGCGCUUGUCUAGCAUGCAAGAGUCAUAGGCUCGAAUCCCGCCUAAGCGC
rnacentral:tRNA from 1 species